rnacentral:rRNA from 1 species
UGAGACGUGAUGCCGAGCCGUUUUUGGUGAAGUGAGUGAUCCCAUGCUGUCGAGAAAAGCCUCUAGCGAGUUCGUGUGUGGCCAGUACCCUAAACCGACGCAGGUGGUCAGGUAGAGAAUACCGAGGCGUUCGGGUGAACCAUGGUUAAGGAACUCGGCAAAUUGUCCCCGUAACUUUGGGAGAAGGGGAGCCCUGUCCGGUGAUGAAGCGUGCCUUCUGAGCUGGGUGGGGUCGCAGAUAGCGGGGGGAAGCGACUGUUUAUUAAAAACACAGGUCCGUGCGAAGUCGUAAGACGCUGUAUACGGACUGACGCCUGCCCGGUGCUGGAACGUUAAGAGGACUGGUUAGUGGGUUUCGGCCUGCGAAGCUGGGAAUCUAAGCGCCAGUAAACGGCGGUGGUAACUAUAACCAUCCUAAGGUAGCGAAAUUCCUUGUCGGGUAAGUUCCGACCUGCACGAAUGGCGUAACGACUUCCCCACUGUCUCAACCAUGGGCCCGGUGAAAUUGCACUACGAGUAAAGAUGCUCGUUUCGCGCAGCAGGACGGAAAGACCCCGGGACCUUCACUAUAGCUUGACAUUGGUGUUUGGGAUGGUUUGUGUAGGAUAGGUGGGAGCCUGUGAAGCUGUCACGCUAGUGGCGGUGGAGGCGUUGGUGAAAUACCACUCUGACUGUUUCGGGCAUCUAACUUUGGACCGUGAUCCGGUUCGGGGACAGUGUCUGGUGGGUAGUUUAACUGGGGCGGUUGCCUCCUAAAGAGUAACGGAGGCGCCCAAAGGUUCCCUCAGCCUGGUUGGUAAUCAGGUGUUGAGUGUAAGUGCACAAGGGAGCUUGACUGUGAGACGGACGUGUCGAGCAGGAGCGAAAGCUGGGACUAGUGAUCCGGCACCGGCGUGUGGAAGCGGUGUCGCUCAACGGCUAAAAGGUACCCCGGGGAUAACAGGCUGAUCUUCCCCAAGAGUCCAUAUCGACGGGAUGGUUUGGCACCUCGAUGUCGGCUCGUCGCAUCCUGGGGCUGGAGUUGGUCCCAAGGGUUGGGCUGUUCGCCCAUUAAAGCGGCACGCGAGCUGGGUUUAGAACGUCGUGAGACAGUUCGGUCCCUAUCCGCUGUGCGCGUUGGAGACUUGAGAAGGGCUGUCCCUAGUACGAGAGGACCGGGACGGACGAACCUCUGGUGUGCCAGUUGUCCUGCCAAGGGCAUGGCUGGUUGGCUACGU